rnacentral:rRNA from 1 species
AGCGGCGGACGGGUGAGUAAUGCUUAGGAAUCUGCCUAUUAGUGGGGGACAACAUUCCGAAAGGAAUGCUAAUACCGCAUACGUCCUACGGGAGAAAGCAGGGGAUCUUCGGACCUUGCGCUAAUAGAUGAGCCUAAGUCGGAUUAGCUAGUUGGUGGGGUAAAGGCCUACCAAGGCGACGAUCUGUAGCGGGUCUGAGAGGAUGAUCCGCCACACUGGGACUGAGACACGGCCCAGACUCCUACGGGAGGCAGCAGUGGGGAAUAUUGGACAAUGGGCGGAAGCCUGAUCCAGCCACGCCGCGUGUGUGAAGAAGGCCUUUUGGUUGUAAAGCACUUUAAGCGAGGAGGAGGCUACCUAGAUUAAUACUCUGGGAUAGUGGACGUUACUCGCAGAAUAAGCACCGGCUAACUCUGUGCCAGCAGCCGCGGUAAUACAGAGGGUGCGAGCGUUAAUCGGAUUUACUGGGCGUAAAGCGUGCGUAGGCGGCUGAUUAAGUCGGAUGUGAAAUCCCUGAGCUUAACUUAGGAAUUGCAUUCGAUACUGGUCAGCUAGAGUAUGGGAGAGGAUGGUAGAAUUCCAGGUGUAGCGGUGAAAUGCGUAGAGAUCUGGAGGAAUACCGAUGGCGAAGGCAGCCAUCUGGCCUAAUACUGACGCUGAGGUACGAAAGCAUGGGGAGCAAACAGGAUUAGAUACCCUGGUAGUCCAUGCCGUAAACGAUGUCUACUAGC